GAUUGAACGCUGGCGGUAUGCUUAACACAUGCAAGUCGAACGGAAACGAUACUAGCUUGCUAGUAGGCGUCGAGUGGCGGACGGGUGAGUAACGCGUAGGAAUCUGCCUGAUAGUGGGGGAUAGCCCGAAGAAAUUCGGAUUAAUACCGCAUAAUCUAUUCGUAGUAAAGUGGGGGACUUUCGAGCCUCACGCUAUCAGAUGAGCCUGCGUAAGAUUAGCUAGUUGGUAGGGUAAAAGCCUACCAAGGCUACGAUCUUUAGCUGGUCUGAGAGGAUGAUCAGCCACAUCGGGACUGAGACACGGCCCGAACUCCUACGGGAGGCAGCAGUGGGGAAUAUUGGACAAUGGGGGCAACCCUGAUCCAGCAAUACCGCGUGUGUGAAGAAGGCCUGAGGGUUGUAAAGCACUUUCAAUUGUGAAGAAAAGUUAACGGUUAAUAACCGUUAGCCUUGACGUUAACUUUAGAAGAAGCACCGGCUAACUCCGUGCCAGCAGCCGCGGUAAUACGGAGGGUGCAAGCGUUAAUCGGAAUUACUGGGCGUAAAGCGUGCGUAGGCGGUUUAUUAAGUCAGAUGUGAAAGCCCCGGGCUUAACCUGGGAACUGCAUUUGAAACUGGUCAACUAGAGUAUGGUAGAGGAAAGUGGAAUUUCUGGUGUAGCGGUGAAAUGCGUAGAUAUCAGAAGGAACAUCAAUGGCGAAGGCAGCUUUCUGGACCAAUACUGACGCUGAGGUACGAAAGCGUGGGUAGCAAACAGGAUUAGAUACCCUGGUAGUCCACGCCAUAAACGAUGAUAACUAGCCGUUGGGGGGAUUUACCCUUUAGUGGCGAAGCUAACGCGUUAAGUUAUCCGCCUGGGGAGUACGGCCGCAAGGUUAAAACUCAAAGGAAUUGACGGGGACCCGCACAAGCGGUGGAGCAUGUGGUUUAAUUCGAUGCAACGCGAAGAACCUUACCUGGUCUUGACAUCCUGCGAACUUUCUAGAAAUAGAUUGGUGCCUUCGGGAACGCAGUGACAGGUGCUGCAUGGCUGUCGUCAGCUCGUGUCGUGAGAUGUUGGGUUAAGUCCCGUAACGAGCGCAACCCCUAUCCUUAUUUGCCAGCACGUCAUGGUGGGAACUAUAAGGAGACUGCCGGUGAUAAACCGGAGGAAGGCGGGGACGACGUCAAGUCAUCAUGGCCCUUACGACCAGGGCUACACACGUGCUACAAUGGGAAGGACAAAGAGCCGCGAAGCCGCGAGGUGUAGCUAAUCUCAGAAACCUUUUCGUAGUCCGGAUUGGAGUCUGCAACUCGACUCCAUGAAGUCGGAAUCGCUAGUAAUCGUAGAUCAGAAUGCUACGGUGAAUACGUUCCCGGGUCUUGUACUCAC
rnacentral:rRNA from 1 species